rnacentral:rRNA from 1 species
GUCUACGCCCAUACCACCCUGAACAAGCCCAAUCCCGUCUGAUCUCAGAAGCUAAGCAGAGUUGGGCCUGGUUAGUAGUUGGAUGGGAGACCACCUAGGAAGACCAGGUGCUGUAGGUG